GUUUUUAUAUACAGAAUAACAAACACAACUGUUUGUAAAAUUUGCCAAGAAAAAACUUUAACAAACAUGAUACGCCAUUUGAACAACUUUAAAAAACUGACGAGACUGUAAAAUAACCGAAAAAAAACUCACUUCAUCAGAAAGGGAACUUUUGGUGGAUAAAGUAAAACUGUAAACAGCAAACUUUAUCAGCAAGACAAGAUCUACAAAUAGAAGAAAAACAUGGGUUUGAUUGUAUUGUUGUUGUAGUGAUCCUAUGGAAAAGGAAUCUACACAGACUAUCCGGAGAAGAUAUCAAAGCUAAAGGCAAAAUGAAUAGUUGGUAUGCAGGAACAUUUUUUGCAAUUGCGAUGACCGUGUUCAUAUCACUUAUUGCCAAUGUUGUCUCGUUUGAAGCAAAGGCUCAAGGUUUUCAACCAUUCAACAUGGACCGUGCUCAGUUUCAAAAAUGGAAUGAUCGCUAUCAGAAAAGAUUCGGAUUUGGAUACCCUGCAUCGUAUGACGGAUUUAACACUGACAGUCGACAACUAAUGAGCUUAGGUCAACUUCUACAUCGUAUACCAAAAGAAAAAAGAAUGGGACGAUAUUCGGCAAACAGCCCAUUUGCAUUUGAUCCAUACAGCAAUACAUACCAAAACUGGAGAGAAGUUUUCAGCGGAAUGAAAAGAUUCAAACCAAAGGAAAACUAACUCUUUAACAUUACAAAAGUCGUGGUUGUGUAACUUUCUUUAAAUAAAUGUCAGGUUUUUAAAGUUAUUUAUCAUCAACAAAUGUAUCUAUAAAAAUUCAUUCUAAAAUGAAAUCAUAUGUUAUUCAAUAUUGUACUAGUUUCAGGAAUGUUUAGAUUUUUUAAUAUGCAUUCGAACAGCUUGUCAGUAUUAAGGACCUUAAAUAGACAACGUUUUACGAAGUAUGUGUGAUUAAAAUAUGUAAGCCUCCGAUAUUUUCUCUAAAUAAAAUUUCUCUGAUUUU